rnacentral:rRNA from 1 species
UACGUAGGGGGCUAGCGUUGUCCGGAAUCAUUGGGCGUAAAGCGCGUGUAGGCGGUCCGGUAAGUCCGCUGUGAAAGUCGGGGGCUCAACCCUCGGAUGCCGGUGGAUACUGUCGGGCUUGAGUACGGAAGAGGCGAGUGGAAUUCCUGGUGUAGCGGUGAAAUGCGCAGAUAUCAGGAGGAACACCAAUUGCGAAGGCAGCUCGCUGGGACGGUACUGACGCUAAGGCGCGAAAGCGUGGGAGCGAACGAGGA